AAGUCGUAACAAGGUUUCCGUAGGUGAACUUGCGGAAGGAUCAUUAUUGAAUAAACUUGGUGGGUUGCUGCUGGCUCUUCGGAGCAUGUGCACACCCAACACCAUUGUUUCCACCUGUGCACCAUUUGUAGGCCUGGAUACCUCUCGAGGAAACUCGGUUUGAGGACUGCUGGCUUCUCAGAAGUCGGCUUUCCUUGCAUUUCCAGGUCUAUGCUUUUCACAUAUACACUUAUAAUGUUAUAGAAUGUCUUUUAUGGGUCUUCAUUGGCCUUUAAACUUAUACAA
rnacentral:misc_RNA from 1 species